rnacentral:rRNA from 1 species
AUUGAACGCUGGCGGCAGGCUUAACACAUGCAAGUCGAGCGGGGGAAGGUAGCUUGCUACCGGACCUAGCGGCGGACGGGUGAGUAAUGCUCAGGAAUCUGCCUAUUAGUGGGGGACAACAUCUCGAAAGGGAUGCUAAUACCGCAUACGUCCUACGGGAGAAAGCAGGGGAUCUUCGGACCUUGCGCUAAUAGAUGAGCCUAAGUCGGAUUAGCUAGUUGGUGGGGUAAAGGCCUACCAAGGCGACGAUCUGUAGCGGGUCUGAGAGGAUGAUCCGCCACAGUGGGACUGAAACACGGCCCAGACUCCUACGGGAGGCAGCAGUGGGGAAUAUUGGACAAUGGGGGGAACCCUGAUCCAGCCAUGCCGCGUGUGUGAAGAAGGCCUUAUGGUUGUAAAGCACUUUAAGCGAGGAGGAGGCUACUCUAGUUAAUACCUAGGGAUAGUGGACGUUACUCGCAGAAUAAGCACCGGCUAACUCUGUGCCAGCCGCCGCAGUAA